UACAGAGGGGGCAAGCGUUGUUCGGAAUUACUGGGCGUAAAGGGCGCGUAGGCGGCCUGUUAAGUCGAACGUGAAAUCCCCGGGCUCACCCCGGGACCUGCAUCCCAAACUGCUGAGCUUGAGUACAGGAGAGGGUGGGGAAUUCCAGGUGUAGCGGUGAAAUGCGUAGAGAUCCGGAGGAACACCGAUUGCGAAGGCAGCUCGCUGGGACGUAACUGACGCUGAGACGCGAAAGCG
rnacentral:rRNA from 1 species